GGGCGAUUAGCUCAGUUGGUAGAGCAGCUGACUCUUAAUCAGCGGGUCCACGGUUCGAGCCCGUGAUCGCCCACCA
rnacentral:tRNA from 1 species